rnacentral:rRNA from 1 species
UCGAGAAUUUUUCACAAUGGGCGCAAGCCUGAUGGAGCGACGCCGCGUGGGGGAUGAAUGGCUUCGGCCCGUAAACCCCUGUCAUUUGCGAUCAAACCUCAUUAUUUAAAAGAUGAUGAGCUGAUAGUAGCGAAAGAGGAAGGGACGGCUAACUCUGUGCCAGCAGCCGCGGUAAUACAGAGGUCCCGGGCGUUGUGCGGAUUCACUGGGCGUAAAGGGUGCGUAGGUGGUGAGGUAAGUCGGAUGUGAAAGCUCGGGGC